GAGCCUCUGUCAUUAAAGCUGUGUUGUUUUAAAAGAGCCUAACCUGUCUGCUGUGUUGUCGAUGCCUCAAGAGAAAAAAGGAAGUGACUCGGAGCUCGCUGUAAAGCAGUAUCUUUGGCCAUAUGAUGUGUAUGACAUCAUUGAGAUUUUAUAA